rnacentral:rRNA from 1 species
GACGAACGCUGGCGGCGUGCCUAAUACAUGCAAGUAGAACGCUGAAGGAGGAGCUUGCUUCUCUGGAUGAGUUGCGAACGGGUGAGUAACGCGUAGGUAACCUGCCUGGUAGCGGGGGAUAACUAUUGGAAACGAUAGCUAAUACCGCAUAAGAGUAGAUGUUGCAUGACAUUUGCUUAAAAGGUGCAAUUGCAUCACUACCAGAUGGACCUGCGUUGUAUUAGCUAGUUGGUGGGGUAACGGCUCACCAAGGCGACGAUACAUAGCCGACCUGAGAGGGUGAGCGGCCACACUGGGACUGAGACACGGCCCAGACUCCUACGGGAGGCAGCAGUAGGGGAUCUUCGGCAAUAGACGGAAGUCUGACCGAGCAACGCCGCGUGAGUGAAGAAGGUUUUCGGAUCGUAAAGCUCUGUUGUAAGAGAAGAACGAGUGUGAGAGUGGAAAGUUCACACUGUGACGGUAUCUUACCAGAAAGGGACGGCUAACUACGUG